GUGAACGCUGGCGGUAGGCCUAACCCCUGCAAGUCGAACGGCAGCACAGUAAGAGCUUGCUCUUACGGGUGGCGAGUGGCGGACGGGUGAGGAAUACAUCGGAAUCUACUUUUUCGUGGGGGAUAACGUAGGGAAACUUACGCUAAUACCGCAUACGACCUACGGGUGAAAGCAGGGGAUCUUCGGACCUUGCGCGAUUGAAUGAGCCGAUGUCGGAUUAGCUAGUUGGCGGGGUAAAGGCCCACCAAGGCGACGAUCCGUAGCUGGUCUGAGAGGAUGAUCAGCCACACUGGAACUGAGACACGGUCCAGACUCCUACGGGAGGCAGCAGUGGGGAAUAUUGGACAAUGGGCGCAAGCCUGAUCCAGCCAUACCGCGUGGGUGAAGAGGGCCUUCGGGUUGUAAAGCCCUUUUGUUGGGAAAGAAAAGCAGCAGGUUAAUACCCCGCUGUUCUGACGGUACCCAAAGAAUAAGCACCGGCUAACUUCGUG
rnacentral:rRNA from 1 species